rnacentral:rRNA from 1 species
GACGAACGCUGGCGGCGUGCUUAACACAUGCAAGUCGAACGAAGUGGCGAACGGGUGAGUAACGCGUAAUCAACCUGCCCUUCAGAGGGGGACAACAGUUGGAAACGACUGCUAAUAUCGCAUACUGAAGGAGGGGAUUGCGGCUGAUGAGCUAGUUGGAUGGGUAACGGCCCACCCAGGCGAUGAUCAGUCGCCGGUCUGAGAGGAUGAUCGGCGACAUUGGGACUGGGACACCGCCCCGACUCCUACGGGGGGCAGCAGUGGGGAAUCUUCCGCAAUGGACGAAAGUCUGACGUAGCAACGCCGCGUGAGUGAUGACGGCCUUCGGGUUGUAAAGCUCUGUUAAUCGGGACGCGGUACCGGAAUAGAAAGCCACGGCUAACUACGUGCCAGCAGCCGCGGUAAUUC